UACGGGGGGGAGCGAGCGUUAUUCGUCAUGACUGGGCGUAAAGGAGAUCUGUAGGUGGUUUAAGAAAAUUUUACUUGUAAAGCCUUAUGGGAAGACAUUGGGAGUAUGGUGAUUAUUUUUUCUUUGACUGUGAGUAUACUGGAUGGUUUGUGCAGUACCCACAGAGGAGAGGUGGAAUUCGGAGAUACUGCUGGGGACUCGCAUUAUGUGAAAACGGCAACCGUCGGUAUUACUGACGCUUGAGGGAUGAAAGCAUGGGGAGCAAACAGG
rnacentral:rRNA from 1 species